GACGAACGUUGGCGGCGUGCUUAACACAUGCAAGUCGAACGGAAAGGCCCUGCUUUUGUGGGGUGCUCGAGUGGCGAACGGGUGAGUAACACGUGAGUAACCUGCCCUUGACUUUGGGAUAACUUCAGGAAGCUGGGGCUAAUACCGGAUAGGAGCUCCUGCUGCAUGGUGGGGGUUGGAAAGUUUCGGCGGUUGGGGAUGGACUCGCGGCUUAUCAGCUUGUUGGUGGGGUAGUGGCUUACCAAGGCUUUGACGGGUAGCCGGCCUGAGAGGGUGACCGGCCACAUUGGGACUGAGAUACGGCCCAGACUCCUACGGGAGGCAGCAGUGGGGAAUAUUGCACAAUGGGCGGAAGCCUGAUGCAGCAACGCCGCGUGCGGGAUGACGGCCUUCGGGUUGUAAACCGCUUUCGCCUGUGACGAAGCGUGAGUGACGGUAAUGGGUAAAGAAGCACCGGCUAACUACGUG
rnacentral:rRNA from 1 species